AGCUCAGAGGUAGAGCGCUUGCCUCGCACGCAUGAGGCCCUGGGUUCGAUUCCUCAG
rnacentral:tRNA from 1 species